GACGAACGCUGGCGGCAUGCUUAACACAUGCAAGUCGAACGCAGCAUCCAAGCUUGCUUGGAUGGCUGAGUGGCAGACGGGUGAGUAACACGUGGGAACUUACCCUUUAGACUGGGACAACCACUGGAAACGGUGGCUAAUACCGGAUACGCCCUGAGGGGGAAAGCAGAAAUGCGCUAAGGGAGAGGCCCGCGGCAGAUUAGGUAGUUGGUGGGGUAAAGGCCUACCAAGCCUGUGAUCUGUAGCUGGUUUGAGAGGAUGACCAGCCACACUGAGACUGAGACACGGCCCAGACUCCUACGGGAGGCAGCAGUGGGGAAUAUUGGACAAUGGGGGAAACCCUGAUCCAGCAAUGCCGCGUGAAUGAAGAAGGCCUUAGGGUUGUAAAGUUCUUUUGUCCGUGACGAUAAUGACGGUAGCGGACGAAUAAGCCCUGGCUAACUCUGUGCCAGCAGCCGCGGUAAGAC
rnacentral:rRNA from 1 species